rnacentral:rRNA from 1 species
GGCUGCAACUCGACUACAUGAAGCUGGAAUCGCUAGUAAUCGCGAAUCAGAAUGUCGCGGUGAAUACGUUCCCGGGUCUUGUACACACCGCCCGUCACACCAUGGGAGUCGGGAAUGCCCGAAGUCAGUGACCCAACCGGAAGGAGGGAGCUGCCGAAGGCAGGCUCGAUAACUGGGGUGAAGUCGUAACAAGGUAUC